rnacentral:rRNA from 1 species
CGAGCAACUUGGUUAAGCUACUAAGAGCACACGGAGGAUGCCUAGGCGCUAGGAGCCGAAGAAGGACGUGGCGAACAACGAAACUGCCUCGGGGAGCUGUAAGCAAGCAUCGAUCCGGGGGUGUCCGAAUGGGGAAACCCGGCUGGAGUAAUAUCCAGUCACUCGUAUCUGAAUUCAUAGGAUGCGAAGAGGCAUACCAGGGGAACUGAAACAUCUAAGUACCCUGAGGAAGAGAAAACAAAAGUGAUUCCGUCAGUAGCGGCGAGCGAACGCGGAUUAGCCUAAACCGAAGAGCUUGCUCUUCGGGGUUGUGGGACGUCUCACAUGGAGUUACAAAGGUUCAGAUUAGACGAAGAGGUCUGGAAAGGCCCGCCAAAGAAGGUAAAAGCCCUGUAAUCGAAAGUGUGAACCCUCCGAGACGGAUCCCGAGUAGUGCGGGGCACGUGAAACCCCGUAUGAAUCUGCCAGGACCAUCUGGUAAGGCUAAAUACUCCCUAGUGACCGAUAGUGAAGCAGUACCGUGAGGGAAAGGUGAAAAGCACCCCGGAAGGG